GAUGAAGAACGUAGCGAAAUGCGAUAAGUAGUGUGAAUUGCAGAAUUCAGUGAAUCAUCGAAUCUUUGAACGCACAUUGCGCCCUUUGGUAUUCCUUAGGGCAUGCCUGUUCGAGCGUCAUUUAAACCUUCAAGCUAAGCUUGGUGUUGGGUGACUGUCCGCUUCACGGCGGACUCGCCUCAAAAUUAUUGGCGGCCGGUACAUUGGCUUCGAGCGCAGCAGAAACGCGAACUCGGGCCCGUCGUAUUGGCUCCCGGAAGCUAUCUUCACAAUUUUGACCUCGGAUCAGGUAGGGAUACCCGCUGAACUUAAGCAUAUCAAUAAGCGGAGGA
rnacentral:misc_RNA from 1 species